rnacentral:rRNA from 1 species
GACGAAGGGGGCUAGCGUUGCUCGGAAUCACUGGGCGUAAAGCGCACGUAGGCGGACUCUUAAGUCGGUGGUGAAAUCCUGGAGCUCAACUCAGAACUGCCUUCGAUACUGAGAGUCUCGAGUCCAGGAGAGGUGAGUGGAACUGCGAGUGUAGAGGUGAAAUUCGUAGAUAUUCGCAAGAACACCAGUGGCGAAGGCGGCUCACUGGCCCGGUACUGACGCUGAGGCGCGAAAGCGUGGGGAGCAAACAGG